CGAAGGGGCUAGCGUUGUUCGGAUUUACUGGGCGUAAAGCGCACGUAGGCGGAUUUUAAGUCAGGGGUGAAAUCCCGGGGCUCAACCUCGGAACUGCCUUUGAUACUGGAGAUCUUGAGUCCGGAAGAGGUGAGUGGAACUGCGAGUGUAGAGGUGAAAUUCGUAGAUAUUCGCAAGAACACCAGUGGCGAAGGCGGCUCACUGGUCCGGUACUGACGCUGAGGUGCGAAAGCGUGGGGAGCAAACAGGAUU
rnacentral:rRNA from 1 species